rnacentral:rRNA from 1 species
AUUGAACGCUGGCGGCAUGCUUUACACAUGCAAGUCGAACGGUAACAGGCCUUCGGGCGCUGACGAGUGGCGAACGGGUGAGUAAUGCAUCGGAACGUGCCCAGUCGUGGGGGAUAACGCAGCGAAAGCUGUGCUAAUACCGCAUACGAUCUGUGGAUGAAAGCGGGGGACCUUCGGGCCUCGCGCGAUUGGAGCGGCCGAUGUCAGAUUAGGUAGUUGGUGGGGUAAAGGCUCACCAAGCCAACGAUCUGUAGCUGGUCUGAGAGGACGACCAGCCACACUGGGACUGAGACACGGCCCAGACUCCUACGGGAGGCAGCAGUGGGGAAUUUUGGACAAUGGGCGCAAGCCUGAUCCAGCAAUGCCGCGUGCAGGAAGAAGGCCUUCGGGUUGUAAACUACUUUUGUACGGAACGAAACGGUCCUGGUUAAUACCUGGGGCUAAUGACGGUACCGUAAGAAUAAGCACCGGCUAACUACGUGCCAGCCGCCGCAGUAAAAC